GCUUCUAACUUUUUAUUAAGCAUUAACUUGUUUAUAUUUCU
rnacentral:tRNA from 1 species